GCGGGCGUAGUAUAGUGGUUAUUAUGCGACCUUGCCAAGGUCGAGACGGCAGUUCGAUUCUGCUCGCCCGCU
rnacentral:tRNA from 1 species